UGAAGUCCUUGUUUUCCCCUGUUUGUUGCCAGAUUAUCUUUUCCCUUAAGUAAGAGUCCUAGCGUUUCCCUAGUGUUACCUCUGUGUGUGUGUUUGACCGUUUUUGCUCGUGACCACCCUUUCUGCCUGUCGUUUUUGGAUACUCUUGCCUGUGUGACUGACUACCCUGCAUACCAACCUUUGCCUGACUAAAAACCCUGAACUUUCAUCUGAGUCUGGGAGUCUGCUCAGUGAGUCCAUCUCCAGUUUGUGCUUGGUAAUGUUUGGUUUGUUCUUUCCGGGCUACUGAAGAAUCAUGGCGUCGGAACAUGGCGAGGACCCGCUCCCUAUGUAGAUGUAAACAGUUCAUUCUAAGAGGCAUCUCCACACUGUCACCAACAGCUGACUCCACCUGCUGCUGGUGUGUGACCACCGGAGCCUGUACCUUCAAUUCUGGACAGAUUACAUUCAAGAAUAUCAAAAGGAAAUGCCAAAAGAGUGAAUUCCCUCACAAACCCAACAAGCACAGAGAAAUGCAUUGGGAUGUACAGU